rnacentral:rRNA from 1 species
AACGACUCUCGGCAACGGAUAUCUCGGCUCUUGCAUCGAUGAAGAAKGUAGCGAAAUGCGAUACUUGGUGUGAAUUGCAGAAUCCCGUGAACCAUUGAGUCUUUGAACGCAAGUUGCGCCCUAAGCCGUUAGGCCGAGGGCACGUCCGCCUGGGUGUCACGCUU